CAGCCGCCACGGUAAAACGAGGGGGGCAAGCGUUGUUCGGAUUUAUUGGGCGUAAAGGGUGCGUAGGCGGUUCGUUAAGUCUGUUGUGAAAGCCCCGGGCUCAACCUGGGAAUGGCAAUGGAUACUGGCGAGCUAGAGUGUGUCAGAGGAUGGUGGAAUUCCCGGUGUAACGGUGAAAUGCGUAGAGAUCGGGAGGAACAUCAGUGGCGAAGGCGGCCAUCUGGGACAACACUGACGCUGAGGCACGAAAGCGUGGGGAGCAAACAGGAUUAGAUACCCCUGUAGUCCCUGUCUCUUAUAC
rnacentral:rRNA from 1 species